rnacentral:rRNA from 1 species
AGAGUUUGAUUCUGGCUCAGGAUGAACGCUAGCGAUAGGCCUAACACAUGCAAGUCGAGGGGCAGCACAUGAAGUAGCAAUACGGAUGGUGGCGACCGGCGCACGGGUGAGUAACGCGUAUGCAACCUGCCUACAACAGGGGAAUAACCCGUUGAAAGACGGACUAAUACCCCAUAACACAGGGAUCCCGCAUGGGAAUAUUUGUUAAAGAUUUAUCGGUUGUAGAUGGGCAUGCGUUCCAUUAGCUUGUUGGUGAGGUAACGGCUCACCAAGGCAACGAUGGAUAGGGGAACUGAGAGGUUUAUCCCCCACACUGGUACUGAGACACGGACCAGACUCCUACGGGAGGCAGCAGUGAGGAAUAUUGGUCAAUGGACGCAAGUCUGAACCAGCCACGUCGCGUGAAGGAAGACGGCCCUACGGGUUGUAAACUUCUUUUGUAAGGGAAUAAAGUGUAGUACGUGUACUAUUUUGCAUGUACCUUACGAAUAAGGAUCGGCUAACUCCGUGCCAGCAGCCGCGGUAAUACGGAGGAUCCGAGCGUUAUCCGGAUUUAUUGGGUUUAAAGGGUGCGCAGGCGGGAGAUUAAGUCGGCGGUGAAAUUUUGCAGCUCAACUGUAAAAGUGCCUUCGAAACUGGUUUCCUUGAGUGUGGAUGAAGUAGGCGGAAUUUGUGGUGUAGCGGUGAAAUGCAUAGAUAUCACGAGGAACUCCGAUUCCGCAUGCAGCUUACUAAACCAUAACUGACGCUCAGCACGAAAGCGUGGGGAUCAAACAGGAUUAGAUACCCUGGUAGUC